rnacentral:miRNA from 1 species
GAAAGGAGAAAGGAAGGGAAAAAAAAAAGAAAAGAAAAGAAAAGAAAGGCAUGAGACCGUCAGACGGCCCCGAGUCCUCUCCUUCUCUUUCUCUUUCUCUCACCUUUUU